CUUCCAUCAAGGGGACAGCCAGUGAAUCCCACUCAGAAAGUCGUAAUAGUCAUCUUAAAGACUCGGCUGCAAAGAAGUUUCAACUCCUACAUGAGGACGGACUAAAACGAAGAUCUCCCGAAGGGAGUGGCAGUUCUAACUGGGAAAGAAGAAAGCUUUGCGCCUUAAAGGAAGAAAAGAUACUUGGGUUUCUGUCAAAAGUUAUCGUUUAGUCACUGAACUUGCAUAAGAUUGCAGGACUACAACCGUUCAUUGUGACUUGGAGAAAGACAGACAGACAGAAAGAAAGAAUUAUUAGACAAUCCAAGCAUCUUUACCUGGAAAAAGAUCCUACUCUUGUAUGUUUUCUGGUUCUCCAGAAAGCAGCACCUUCAAGCAACAGCCCUGAUAUACCCUUCACAACUCUUACAAACCAUGGCUACAAAUUACUACUAGUGGUAGCACCACCACCACCACCACC